AAGGACUAACUGUGAUUCAUAUAUUUAUCAAGCAACUUCCCGUCGUGAUCGCCUUUUGUGAACAAAGCAGGUCAUCACUUAAUAUUAGUAAGGAAAGCAUUGGUUCAUCUAAGGAAAAAAUCGCAAGAAAGCAGAGUGGGCUCGAAAAUGUUCGUGACCAAUUGAUAAGCACAAUUCUCACAAUAUUAGUCUGUGAUGUGCUCAAGUUUGAUCCACCUGAGAUUGAGCGGGCUGUUUUCCUUGCAACUAACAACGCUCUGGUUUGUAGAUACCAUUAAAGUUGUCUACUAAAUCGAUCUUAUUCAAUUUGAUGGGCUCGCAAUGAAUGGAACCUUCUAUCAGAAAUCUGGAAUCAUUUCUGGUGGUAUAACAUAACAAGAAAAACUCACGGAAGAAAAGAAGAGUUGGUAAAGAAAUCACCAACAGAGUAAACUGGCAACUGUCGAAAGACAAAUUCAGGGUUUCGCAAAUUGUCUAAAAUACACAAAGUCGUACAAAAAAUCCAUCUCACAACUCACAACGGGGUAAGGAAAUAUGAAUGACGUUUUACAAUAAAGUUUUUUGCAGCUAAAAAUCAAAGAAAUCUAACACCGGAUGUUGAAUCAUGACUCAGGAGAUCAAAGAAAACUUGAACAAUGUUUUAGGUUUUAGUCGAGUUAUGUCUCCGUUUUGGUGCCAAAAUUAUUCUAUAGUAUGAGGAAGACGGCUAAAUUUGAACAACAUUUAUACAAUUAACAUGUAAUUGGAUUUUGAAAAACAAAAGUUGUUGACUUCAAUUUCAAAUGGAGUUCAAUUUUGUAUAAAAUGUUUUCCCACAUUUGAAUCGAUGGAUUGUAGAGCAGUUCUCCUGCUUAAAGAAUCUCUUGAUGAUGUUCAGCUAGGUGAUUCUGAAACUGCAAGAAGGGAGCUUCAGUUUCUAUGAUUCUCAGAAAAGAAAAUCAUAAUUGAAGUCAACCAUAGCUGUUUGCUGCGCGGAAUCCUGCAAACUUAAAUCACAAAUAAUUAUAUACAGAUAUCUCAUCUUCAUAGAAAAAAGUGAC